GGGAAACUAGCGGGGCGGCACACCCCUCACCGCCCCUAUGAUAUCUACCAGGUGAUCUAAUUAGAACGAUAACUAGCUGGGACUGGAGGCUAAUUAGGAUUUGCUGAAGGAAGCAACAGGGCUUGGAGCCCUCUGAUCUUCCGGAGAGGCCCUGCCCUCAUUUGUCUUCCGCACUGAAUAUCCUUGACUCUAUCUUCCUCUGUUUGGACGCCUCAGCUUCACUGGGAGCCAGGUGCAGCCAUCCUACAAUCAGAUGUAAACAGUCUCUCCUCUCUUUGUGCAGGGCAGCUCUUUGUGCAAAACAGGAAGAAAACAACACGGAGAUGGAUCAACCAAAUUGCACGAAAUGGACAUAGAGUGCUGAGGAUAUUAAGUGUCACGGAUACUGGAAAAUCUGAUCAGCAGCACCAACAUCAUGUGCGAGCUUCUGAGAAAUGCAGCUUGUUGGGCCCUUCCUCGAAUCUACUGAAUCAGAAUGGGUGUUUUACAAAGAUCCUCACCUCAUUCAGAUGCACACUGAAGUUUGACCAUUGUUAUGUUACCUUAUUCAGACUUCACAACAUCCCGAUGGGGCUCUCAGCUCUGGGCCUCAGGCCUCAAGUCCACAGCAGAUGCCUGAUGCGAUCCCUCGCAGUACGUGCGCACUUACGUGUAAAGCGUCUUAGUGAAGAAAGGUGGCCCAGACUGUAUUCACUUGCAUUUCCUUCCUCAUCACAUCAGUGCACCACACACAUUUUGAGAAGGAAAUCAAUAAAAAAUGUUUUCCCAU
ensembl:lncRNA